GACAGAGGGUGCAAACGUUGUUCGGAAUGACUGGGCGUAAAGCGCGUGUAGGCGGCUCGGCAAGUCGGAUGUGAAAGCCCUGGGCUCAACCCAGGAAGUGCACUCGAAACUGCCGAGCUGGAGUCCCGGAGAGGAAGGCGGAAUUCUCGGUGUAGAGGUGAAAUUCGUAGAUAUCGAGAGGAACACCUGCGGCGAAAGGCGGCGUCCUGGACCAACACUGACACUGAUGAGCGAAAGCCAGGGGAGCAAACGGG
rnacentral:rRNA from 1 species